UUGAAUUCAAUUCCAAGUACGUUAAUUCAAGAUUCAAAUCAUCAUAUUGAGUUAAUGUACAAAGAAUUGAUUGAUAGAUUGUAGAUACAAAAUCUUCAAAAUACUCCUGAAUACUCAAUCUCCAAUUGAAUUUUUGUAGGGUUUUGAUCUUCUCCAGCAGGGACAGCAAAUGUUGGCGUUAAAAAAAAAUAGGGCAAGUAGAAAUUAGAAGCAAAUGAAUGAAAAAGAGAAAUGUAUGGUACAUGUGAAUUUGAAGACGACCUAACAAAAAUUGAGGAUUUUUAAAAUCUCAAUCCAGCAGCAUCGUCUCAUUUUCAAGAAGAAUGAGAAAAGCAAAGAAAUCAGGAAUCAGGUGGACAGUGAUGUAUAGUCACGAUAGAUACUCGAGUGAAAUUAGUAUCAUGGGGAAUCAGAGAUGAAAUUAGUAAACCAGACACAAAACUUUACUACUAUCCAUCAAACCAAAAAUGACUCUCUAUCAAGGAGAACUGGUCAAAAUUUCAAGAAGGAAAUCCUUGACAAAAAUCUCAUGAAGCUCAUCUUAGAAGUGUAUCAUCUCCUUUAUAGCCAAACCCUCUAGUAAAUUACUGCACUAAGGAACACAAAACUUCUUUAAAGAACAUGUUCCAACUAUCUCCUUCCAUGUUACAACUACCUCCCUCCACGUUACAGAUCUUCAAGCAGUAGCAGAUACCC
rnacentral:misc_RNA from 1 species